UGUUUUUCUCUUUGAUUGACAGAUAGGCAACUUGCAAAUAAAUGAAAAAGAUGACAAGCUGGAAGCUGCAGCAAAUGGUGCAAAGACAGAAGGCGAUGGAGUGAAGGCGGAGGACGAUGAUAAAGAUGACAAGGCAGCACAGUCACUGCUGAAUAAACUGAUCCGCAGUAAUCUAGUGAACACGACCAAUCAAGUUGAAGUCCUUCAGAGGGAUCCGAGUUCUCCGCUAUACUCUGUCAAGUCGUUUGAAGAGCUGCGAUUAAAACCUCAGCUACUGCAGGGAGUGUAUGCCUUGGGUUUCAACAGACCCUCCAAAAUCCAGGAGACCGCAUUGCCCAUGAUGCUCGCAGAAC